rnacentral:rRNA from 1 species
AUUGAACGCUGGCGGCAGGCCUAACACAUGCAAGUCGAGCGAGCGGCGGACGGGUGAGUAAUGUCUGGGAAACUGCCUGAUGGAGGGGGAUAACUACUGGAAACGGUAGCUAAUACCGCAUACCAUCAGAUGUGCCCAGUAGGGAUUAGCUAGUAGGUGGGGUAACGGCUCACCUAGGCGACGAUCCCUAGCUGGUCUGAGAGGAUGACCAGCAAGACUGGAACUGAGACACGGUAAAGACACCUAAGGGAGAGAGCAGUGGGGAAGAUUGCACAAUGGGCGCAAGCCUGAUGCAGCCAUGCCGAGUGUGUGAAGAAGGCCUUCGGGUUGUAAAGCACUUUCAGCGGAGAGGCGUUACCCACAGAAGAAGCACCGGCUAACUCCGUGCCAGCCGCCGCGGUAAUUC